rnacentral:lncRNA from 1 species
CUUGUGUAAGCCAGACAUGAGUACACACUAUGUACCUAACCACAACCAAAUCUUCCAUCAUGCCUUCUGAACGAUAUGACUUGGAACUUCUUUUGCUCCAAACUUGCCACCUACAUGAUGUCCAGUUGACAGGAUCCACUUUAAUUACCACUGCCCCCUUGCAGAUUUUCCUGAAGCCUAUCCUUGCUACAGAUCAGACAGGCCAUUUGCUUCUAAAGUUGUACUCUUGACUUCCCCUAAAGCUGCUCACUCCCAAGGCCCAUCCUUGAGCUACAGAAUCAUAACCACGGGGCAGGAAAGUAUAUGGGUAAGACUCAAAUAUCUGUAUUUUAACUACCUCCUG